UACGAAGGUGGCAAGCGUUACUCGGAAUUACUAGGCGUAAAGGGCAGGUAGGUGGUUUGAUAAGUCUGUUGUGUAAGCUCCCGGCUUAACUGGGAGAGGUCAACGGAAACUAUCAGACUUGAGUAUAGGAGAGGUUACUGGAAUUCCCGGUGUAGCGGUGAAAUGCGCAGAUAUCGGGAGGAACACCAAUGGCGAAAGCAGGUAACUGGACUAUUACUGACACUCAGCUGCGAAAGCUAGGGGAGCAAACAGG
rnacentral:rRNA from 1 species